UACGAAGGGGGCUAGCGUUGCUCGGAAUCACUGGGCGUAAAGCGCACGUAGGCGGAUCUUUAAGUCAGGGGUGAAAUCCCAAGGCUCAACCUUGGAACUGCCUUUGAUACUGGGGAUCUCGAGUACUGGAGAGGAGAUUGGAAUUUACGGUGUAGCAGUGAAAUGCGUAGAUAUCGUAAGGAAGACCAGUGGCGAAGGCGAAUCUCUGGACAGUUACUGACACUGAGGCACGAAGGCCAGGGGAGCAAACGGG
rnacentral:rRNA from 1 species